rnacentral:rRNA from 1 species
UACGAAGGGGGCUAGCGUUGUUCGGAUUUACUGGGCGUAAAGAGCGUGUAGGCGGCCAGGUAGGUCGGUUGUGAAAACUGGAGGCUCAACCUUCAGAGGUCGACCGAAACCAUCUGGCUAGAGUCCGGGAGAGGAGAGUGGAAUUCCUGGUGUAGCGGUGAAAUGCGCAGAUAUCAGGAAGAACACCCGUGGCGAAAGCGGCUCUCUGGAACGGUACUGACGCUGAGACGCGAAAGCGUGGGGAGCGAACAGG